UGCCUCUCAGGGUUGCACCUGGAGAGUUUCCAGUACUCUACCAGUCUCGACUACAGGAGGGAGAGUCAAGCAGAGGCAUAGCCAUUCCAUUCUUAGCAUGGGUAGUGGCUAGUGAGUGGAAAGCAAUCUGCUACAAGU
rnacentral:snoRNA from 1 species